UGGACAGAUUAUUUAUUCGACUGUAUUCACGGCGUGAAAUAGGGGAUUACACUGUUUUUAAAACGGAAAGUGAAUCAAUUAACAUAAUAGACUCCU
rfam:Nicotiana attenuata strain TT chromosome 5, whole genome shotgun sequence.